rnacentral:tRNA from 1 species
GCCCGAGUGGCGGAAUGGUAGACGCAGGGGAUUCAAAAUCCCCCGCCGCAAGGCGUGUCGGUUCGAGUCCGACCUCGGGUACCA